UCCCAGUGAUGAAAUUCUCAGAAGUCUUACUUCCUGUCCUAGCCUCAGAGCCUGUAAAGGUGAACCCACUGGGGCUGGCUGGAGGAAAAGAGGAGGAUUUGUUCUGUAAGGAACUGUCUGAGGGAU
rnacentral:snoRNA from 1 species